ACGCCGGCGGGAGCCGCCCGUUCGCGCUGCCAGCAGCUUCCGCCUGCUACGGUCCUGGCAAGCACCUCGGGAUCCCAUUCCUUCACAGGGACCCUAGCCAGUUAAAGCUGAUACAUUCCUGUGGGUCAACUAUGCAACUAACUCAGAUUUUGAGCAAACAAAGCUCUCAAGUUGGUGAUCCUCAGGAGUCUCUGCAUUAGUUGGACAGCUCUUCUGGAAUUAUCUUCUAAGUCAACUGUGGGUUGGGUAGGUGGCUCUGCUGAUUUUUCGCUGGACUUCCACAUUUGGGACGAGUUGGCUGUCAUCAGCUCUAGAAAGGGUGUGGCCGUUUUACAUUGGCUGUUUUCCUCACAUUCCUCAAGCAGAAUUUCCUUUCAUCUCUGGUAAAAGUCAGCUCUCUAACUACUGCAUCUCACAGCUGAACAGAUAACUGAUACCGUGCUUCCAGAAGAUUUUUCUAACAGUGUUUGCAAGCUAUAAAAUAGUGCUUUCACUUAGAAAAGGCUAGACGUGGUGGUUCAUGCCUGUAAUCCCAGCACUUUGAGAGGCCGAGGCACCAUGCUGGGAGAUAAGGAUCCAACAUAAGACAAACAGUGCUGAUGCUUUUGGAAAGCUCAUAUUCAAGCUGGGGAGACAAACAACAUACAAGUGGCUGUAGCUACCUUCUGCAUAUGGAUAUCCAGUUUUCCCAGCACCACUUAUUAAAGAGACUGUCUUUUCUGCAGUGUAUAUUCUUGGCACCGUUGUUGAAAAUGAAUUCAUUGUAGGUGUGUGGGUUUGUUUCUGGGUUCUCUAUUCUGUUCAACUUGUCUAUGUGUCUGUUUUUAUGCCAGUACCGUGUCAUUUUAGUUACCAGAGCUCUGCAGUAUAAUUUGAAACCAGGUCAUGUGAUUCCUCCAGUUUUGUGGUAUUAGGAUAGGUUUGGCUAUUCUGAGUCUUUUGUGGUUCCAUAUAAAUUUUAGAAUUUUUUUUUUCUAUUUCUGUGAAGAAUGUCAUUGGUAUUUUGAUAGGGAUUGCGUUGAAUCUGUAGAUUGCUUUGGGUAGUAUGGACAUUUUAACAAUAUUCAUUCUUCUAAUCCAUGAACAUGGAAUACCUUUCCAUUUUUUGGUGUCCAUUUCAAUUUCUUUCAUCAGUCUUAUACUUUUCAUUAUAGAGAUCUUUCACUUCUUGGAUUAACUCCUAUGUAUUUAAUUUUACUUGUAGCUAUUGUAAAUGGGAUUACUUUUUUUUUUUUUUUUGACGGAGUUUCACCCUUGGCAUCCAGGCUAGUGUGCAAUGGCGCAACCUCAGCUCACUGCAACCUCCACCUCCCAGGUUCAAGCAAUUCUCCUGCCUCAGCCUCCUGAGUAGCUGGAAUUACAGGUGCCCGCCACCACACCCGGCUAAUUUUUGUAUUUUUAGUAGAGACAGGGUUUCACCACGUUGGUCAGGCUGGUCUUGAACUCCUGACCUCAGAUGAUCUGCCCACCUCGACCUCCCAAAGUGCUGGGAUUACAGGCAUGAGCCACCACUUCCAGCAAGGGAUUACUUUUUUAAUCUCUUUUUCAGAUUUUUCACUGUUGGCAUAUAGAAAUCCUACUAAUUUUUGUAUGUUGAUUUUGUAUCCUGGAACUUUACUGAAUCUGUUUAUAAUUUGUGUAUUUGUUUAUAGUAGUUUUUUGGUGGACUCUUUCAGUUUUUCCAAAUAUAAGAUCAUAUCAUUGGCAAACAAGGACAGUUUGAUUUCUUCUAUUCCAAUUUGGAUGCCUUUAUUUCUUUCUGUUGUCUGAUUGCUCUAGUUAGGACUUCCAGUACUAUGUUGAAUAACAGUGAUGAAAGUGGGCAUCCUUGCCAUGUUCCAGAUCUUAGAAAAGAGGCUUUCAGUUUUUCACCAUUCAGUUUGAUACUAGCUGUGGCAGCUUCCAUGAGAAUCACGCAGUUUGAAGAAGCAUUUCACUGAAAAAUAGGGAUUGCUGUUCUGGAAAGACAAAACAAUUGUCUACAAUUCUAAAGAAGAAGUGAACACAAUAAUUAAAUCAAUGUUAUUCUGGGUCUAAAGCUUAUAUUCUUAAUUAC
rnacentral:lncRNA from 1 species